rnacentral:rRNA from 1 species
GGGAAACUACGGCUAAUACCGCAUGAUGCCUGAGGGCCAAAGCGAAAGUCGUUUGAGGAGGAGCCUGCGUCUGAUUAGGUAGUUGGUGGGGUAAAGGCCUACCAAGCCCUACGAUCAGUAGCUGGUCUGAGAGGAUGAUCAGCCACAUUGGGACUGAGACACGGCCCAAACUCCUACGGGAGGCAGCAGUGGGGAAUAUUGGACAAUGGGCGCAAGCCUGAUCCAGCAAUGCCGCGUGGGUGAAGAAGGUUCUUCGGAUUGUAAAGCCCUUUUGGCGGGGACGAUGAUGACGGUACCCGCAGAAUAAGCUCCGGCUAACUUCGUG